rnacentral:pre_miRNA from 1 species
AAUAUACUCCCUCUGUUUGGAAUUACUUGUCGCAGAAAUGAUGUAUCUAGACAUAUUUUAGUUCUAGAUACAUCUAUUUUCGAGACAAGUAAUUCCGAACGGAGGGAGUACAAG